GUAUUUUUUAGUAGAAAUGAGGUUUCGCCAUGUUGCCCAGGCUGGUCUCGAACUCCUGAAGCACAAGUGAUCCACCUGCCUAGGCGACCCAAAGUAAUGGGAUUACAGGCAAUGGACCUCAUCAUGACCGUUGCUGUACUUACAAUGAAAACAACUUGGUGGAUGGUGUGUAUUGUCUCCCAAUAGGACACUGGAUUGAGGCCACUGGGCACACCAAUGAAAUGAAGCACACAACAGACUUCUAUUUUAAUAUUGCAGGCCACCAAGCCAUGCAUUAUUCAAGAUCCAGGGACCAAAGGCCUGAAUUCCAGUUCUGCCUCAAGGUGGUGCUUUCCCUCAUUUUUGUAGCCCAAGACAUACAUUCAACUCAAGAGUCCAACUCUACAGCAGCUAUAUUUGGAAAUACAUAUAUUUUAUAGCCAGUAUAUAAAUGAUUUUUAAUAAAAUUCUACCAAAUAUCUGGCUGGGUAGCUGCCCUCGUCAAGUGGAACAUGUAACCAUCAAACUGAAGCAUGAAUUGGGGAUUACAGCUGUAAUGAAUUUCCAGACCGAAUGGGAUA
rnacentral:sRNA from 1 species